rnacentral:sRNA from 1 species
GCACAGAUCAUGAAGUGGACAAAGUAAAA